rnacentral:rRNA from 1 species
GACGAACGCUGGCGGCGUGCCUAAUACAUGCAAGUCGAACGCAGUGGGGACGGGUGAGUAACACGUGGGUAACCUCCCAUCAGAGGGGAUAACACUUGGAAACAGGUGCUAAACCGAUACUGAUGGAUGGACCCGCGGUGCAUUAGCUAGUUGGUGAGGUAACGGCUCACCAAGGCCACGAUGCAUAGCCGACCUGAGAGGGUGAGCGGCCACACUGGGCCUGAGACACGGCCCAAACUCCUAGGUGAGGAGACAGUAGGGAAGCUUCGGCAAUGGACGAAAGUCUGACCGAGCAAGGCCGCGUGAGUGAAGAAGGUUUUCGGAUCGUAAAACUCUGUGGUUAGAAAAGCGGUUUCUAACCAGAAAGCCACGGCUAACUACGUGCCAGCAGCCGCGGUAAUUC